rnacentral:rRNA from 1 species
UCUGAUGAGUUGUUGCUGGUUCUCUAGGGAGCAUGUGCACGCCUGUCAUCUUUAUAUCUCCACCUGUGCAUCUUUUGUAGACCUGAAUACAUUUCUGAAUGCGAGUUCAGGUUUUUGGGGAUUGACUUUAUGUUUUUCCUUACACAUUUCAGGUCUAUGUUACUUCAUUUACCCAAUUGUAUGUUAUGGAAUGUCGCUAAGUGGCCCUUGUGCCCAUAAACCUUUACAACUUUCAGCAACGGAUCUCUUGGCUCUCGCAUCGAUGAAGAACGCAGCGAAAUGCGAUAAGUAAUGUGAAUUGCAGAAUUCAGUGAAUCAUCGAAUUUUUGAACGCAUCUUGCGCUCCUUGGUAUUCCGAGGAGCAUGCCUGUUUGAGUGUCAUUAAUAUGUAUAUCAACCUUUAUUUGUUGGAUGUGGGGGUCUUCUUUUGCUGGUCGUUCUAAGGUCAGCUCCCCUGAAAUGUAUUAGCUGAACAAUUGUAAACCGUUCAUUGGUGUGAUAACUAUCUAUGCUAUUGACGGGAAGCAGUUUCAGCUUCUAA